CGGAGGAUCCAAGCGUUAUCCGGAUUCAUUGGGUUUAAAGGGUGCGUAGGCGGAAUGAUAAGUCAGUGGUGAAAUCUCGGAGCUUAACUCCGAAACUGCCAUUGAUACUGUCAAUCUUGAGUACAUUUGAUGAGGGCGGAAUGUGUCAUGUAGCGGUGAAAUGCUUAGAUAUGACACAGAACACCGAUUGCGAAGGCAGCUCUCAAAACUGUAACUGACGCUGAGGCACGAAAGCGUGGGUAUCAAACAGGAUUAGAUACCCUGGUAGUCCACGCUGUAAACUAUGAUUACACGAUGUUUGCGAUAUACUGUAAGCGUCUAAGCGAAAGCGAUAAGUAAUCCACCUGGGGAGUACGCUCGCAAGAGUG
rnacentral:rRNA from 1 species